GCAGUGGCAUUAUUGUCCUGAUCUUUUUUCCGUUUGGAAGAUAUAGGAGCGAAACAAUCAACCUAUUGAUAUUGGAAGACCCAACAGAUUCUUCCAAUGUAUCAUUUCUGGGUCCAAUGGAAUUCAUAGGUAUAGAAAGAAGCCCUCUCAAAUAGAGAUUUUUUCUUUCGACCAUAUUUCGAUUGUUAAUACGAUAUACAAGGACUGCUACUACAAAGAGUAUUACACCCUUGAUCGUGAAAUAUCGAUUGCUUGUUGACUCCUGUGAAUUGCGUGAAAGUAGAAUGCUCCAAAUUCGGAGGUCAAAAUAGUUUUAGAAAAUGUUCUUGGUGGAAAAAAAAUGUUAAUGAAAGAUCCAACUGAAUGAAAUUGGGUCCAUGAAUCUAAGAAAUAGUGAGAAUUCUUAAUCUCUCUCAAUAUCUCUCACCCUCUUAUUUCCACUUUAGAACAUCUCAUUUGAACGUGAAACUUGUCGGCUUAUCAAGUAUCACUGUAUGUCUUUCCUUUUAAGAAUUGUUAGUCAUGUUUCUAAUUUAUUUGAGAUGGUUCAUUAUGAUUUAUGGGGAUCAA
rnacentral:lncRNA from 1 species